GAUGAAGAACGCAGCGAAAUGCGAUAAGUAGUGUGAAUUGCAGAAUUCAGUGAAUCAUCGAAUCUUUGAACGCACAUUGCGCCCCUUGGUAUUCCAUGGGGCAUGCCUGUUCGAGCGUCAUUUGUACCUUCAAGCUUUGCUUGGUGUUGGGUGUUGUCUCGCCUUUGCGUGUAGACUCGCCUUAAAAUAAUUGGCAGCCGGCGUAUUGAUUUCGGAGCGCAGUACAUCUCGCGCUUUGCACUCAUAACGACAGCGUCCAAAAGUACAUUUUACACUCUUGACCUCGGAUCAGGUAGGGAUACCCGCUGAACUUAAGCAUAUCAAUAAGCGGAGGA
rnacentral:misc_RNA from 1 species